CCUACGGGUGGCAGCAGUAGGGAAUCUUUCACAAUGGGCGAAAGCCUGAUGGAGCAACGCCGCGUGCAGGAUGAAGGCCUUCGGGUUGUAAACUGCUUUUAUAAGCGAGAAAUAUGAUGGUAACUUAUGAAUAAGGAUCGGCCAACUACGUGCCAGCAGCCGCGGUCAUACGUAGGAUCCGAGCAGUAUCCGGAGUGAGUAGGUGUAAAGAGUUGCGUAGGUGGCAUAAUAAGUGGCUAGUGAAAUCUGGUGGCUCAACCAUUCAGACCAUUAGCUAAACUGUUAAGCUCGAGACCGUGAGGGGUAAGUGGGAUUUCUAGUGUAGGAGUGAAAUCCGUAGAUAUUAGGAAGGACACCAAUAGCGUAGGCAGGUUGCUUGGACGGUUCUGACACUAAGGCACGAAAGCGUAGGGGGCAAACGGGAUUAGAUACCCCGGGUAGUC
rnacentral:rRNA from 1 species